ACUUAGCCCCGAUUAAAUUGAAAAUCCUUUUUUUCUGCCUUUUUUUUGGCGGAUAAAAAGAUUACCUCACUAUACUUUUAUUUCCAUAGGAGUUCAGUGAAUUUCAUUUGUAACGGAAAGCGGGACACGAG
rnacentral:misc_RNA from 1 species